rnacentral:rRNA from 1 species
AAUCAACGCUGGCGGCGUGCCUCAGACAUGCAAGUCGAACGCGAAAGUUCCCUUCGGGGAGCGAGUAGAGUGGCGCACGGGUGAGUAACACGUAGGUAAUUUACCUUCGGGUGGGGAAUAACAGCCGGAAACGGCUGCUAAUACCGCAUAAUGCAGCGGCUCGACAUCGAGACAGUUGUUAAAGCGGGGGAUCGCAAGACCUCGCGCCUGAAGAGAAGCCUGCGGCAGAUUAGCUAGUUGGUGGGGUAAUGGCUCACCAAGGCGACGAUCUGUAGCCGGCCUGAGAGGGCGGUCGGCCACACUGACACUGACAUACGGGUCAGACUCCUACGGGAGGCAGCAGUCGGGAAUUUUGGGCAAUGGGCGAAAGCCUGACCAGCAGCGCCGCGUGAAGGAUGAAAUCCCUCGGGAUGUAAACUUCGCAAGAA